UGUAGCUCUGUGCAUGCCCUUUUCUGGUGAUCUUGCAUCAGACCUGCCAGUGAUUUGCAUACUGCUACUACCGCUUGUGGAGCUUCAAACAACGAUUAUCUGUCGAGAAUAAAAAUCCUUUACCUACAAGGCUGUUGUUGAAUGUUGAAUGGGGAGGACGAAUCGCUGACGGUACUGAGCAUGACGGACAUAUACACUCCGAAGACUCCCUGUGGAGACUCAAUAUUCUCAGCCAAUUUACGGUAAGCCUUGUGCCCUGAGGAGGCGUGAUGAGAACCUCUCCCUAACAGCAGGAUGGAGCGUUACCUCGUCUUCCCCGUCUCUCCCUCGUCUCCCCAUGACUUACACUCUAACUGCGAGAAGACUGCAAGAUCUCAGCCUCCCUAACGAGUGAAGCAAGCAGGGCCCACAGAUGUGAAGCAGCUAGCUGUCUUUGACAAGUUUGAACCCUGCUAGCCACAGCACGAAAGGUUUGGCUGUACAGUAUGGAGCGUUGACCUCGGCUUCAGUGUUAAUUCAGUUACUCAAAACAUGUCCCCUGAGCAGAUUGUACAUGAUCCGAAAUACUAUCGCUGUGUGUGUGUGUGUGUGUGUGUGUGUGUGUGUGUGUGUGUGUGUGUGCCUGUUUGUGUUGGUUUUUCUGUCCUUGUGGGGACCUAGAAUCCUCAAAAGUACCCACAUGGAAAAUUCCCCCCCCAUGAGGACAAAGGCUAUUUUAAGCUUAAGGGGUUAUGUUUAGGUUUACAAUUAGGGUAGGGUUAG